GGCCCACCAAGACUACGAUAGAUAGGGGUUCUGAGAGGAAGGUCCCCCACAUUGGAACUGAGACACGGUCCAAACUCCUACGGGAGGCAGCAGUGAGGAAUAUUGGUCAAUGGACGCGAGUCUGAACCAGCCAAGUAGCGUGAAGGAUGACUGCCCUAUGGGUUGUAAACUUCUUUUAUAUGGGAAUAAAGUGGUCCACGUGUGGACUUUUGUAUGUACCAUAUGAAUAAGGAUCGGCUAACUCCGUGCCAGCAGCCGCGGUAAUACGGAGGGUCCGAGCGUUAUCCGGAUUUAUUGGGUUUAAAGGGAGCGUAGGCGGAUUGUUAAGUCAGUUGUGAAAGUUUGCGGCUCAACCGUAAAAUUGCAGUUGAUACUGGCAGUCUUGAGUGCAGUAGAGGUGGGCGGAAUUCGUGGUGUAGCGGUGAAAUGCUUAGAUAUCACGAAGAACUCCGAUUGCGAAGGCAGCUCACUGGAGUGUAACUGACGCUGAUGCUCGAAAGUGUGGGUAUCAAACAGGAUUAGAUACCCUGGUAGUCCACACAGUAAACGAUGAAUACUCGCUGUUUGCGAUAUACAGUAAGCGGCCAAGCGAAAGCAUUAAGU
rnacentral:rRNA from 1 species